GCAUCCGUAACUCAGUGGAAUAGAGUACUCGGCUACGAACCGAGCGGUCGGAGGUUCGAAUCCUCCCGGAUGCA
rnacentral:tRNA from 1 species